rnacentral:rRNA from 1 species
UAGUUUGAUCCUGGCUCAGGACGAACGCUGACGGUGUGCUUUAGACAUGCAAGUCGAACGAGAAAGCCCUUCGGGGUUAGUAAAGUGGCGAACGGGUGCGUAACACGUGGGCAAUCUGCCCCUCGCAGGGGGACAACCGGAGGAAACUCCGGCUAAUACCCCGUAAGCUUUCAGGGUCGCAUGGCCUUGUAAGGAAAGGUAGCUUCGGCCAUCCGGCGAGGGAUGAGCCCGCGGUACAUUAGCUAGUUGGUGGGGUAACGGCCUACCAAGGCGACGAUGUAUAGCUGGUCUGAGAGGAUGAUCAGCCACACUGGGACUGAGACACGGCCCAGACUCCUACGGGAGGCAGCAGUCGGGAAUCUCGCACAAUGGGCGAAAGCCUGAUGCAGCAACACCGUGUGAGCGAGGAAGGCCUUCGGGUCAUAAAGCUCUGUUGUUGGGGAAGAAGGGCGAAGGGUUAAUAGCCCCUAGCUUGACGGUACCCUUCGAGGAAGCCCCGGCUAACUACGUGCCAGCAGCCGCGGUAAUACGUAGGGGGCGAGCGUUGUCCGGAAUUAUUGGGCGUAAAGAGCGUGUAGGCGGUUCGGUAAGUCUGUCGUGAAAACCUGGGGCUCAACCCCGGGCGUGCGAUGGAUACUGCCGAGCUAGAGGGUGGUAGAGGCGAGUGGAAUUCCCAGUGUAGCGGUGAAAUGCGCAGAUAUUGGGAGGAACACCAGUAGCGAAGGCGGCUCGCUGGGCCACACCUGACGCUGAGACGCGAAAGCGUGGGGAGCAA